AUGGGAAGCCUACAUAUUACAUUAUGUGAAUGUCCAUUCUCCGAAAUUAAAAAAAACAAUAAAAACAAAAAAAACUGAGAAACGGGGGAGGAGGGGUGGGCAUAAAACCAAAGAGAGUAAACCUUGCCCUCCAGAUAAUCUCAUCCACAGGCCAGAGAAUUCCCUAGAGCUUCAACUGCAAGGUGCCCCAUUCACACAAAGAGCUCAAAUCCAGGAACCUGGCUCAACUACUUUGAGAAAAGGACAUAAAGAGAUCCCAAAUAAUGGCGUGUCAAAGCACGAAGUGUUCUGCUUCACCACCACCCAGGAACCAAAGCAAACCCAAGAGCCCAGCCAACAUUCACGAAGAUGCAGUCAGUGCAACAGUUGGCACUGUUUUCUGUCACCUUCCUUUCACUUCAAUGAUGCUGAGCCGAAGUCAACACAGAUGUUCUCCCAUCCAGCAAUCCCUAUUUGCAGAAAGCUGUAUUCUUCUGAGGUUCCUCACCAAACACUGGACGUCAGGAAAACAUUCAGGAAAAUUAUUCAGCUUUGAUGGCAUUCCUACUUCAUCUCUCCCUCUGCCCCCAGCGAAGAGCUCUGAACUCCUGUUGCAGGGCCUCACUAAGCAUCACACACAGCUGAGUGGCCGAUUCUCUCAAGUCCUAGGUUCCUCCUUCCAACUGGCUAGACCUUGUCUAAGGCCACAGAGACACGGGUGGGUGUGAGGAGAACCUGAACCAGACUCCGAAUGUCUGUCUUUCUAGAGAAAAGACUCCUGAACUUACGAGUAAGGCCUCCCACUCUACUCAUACCUUCAAAAUGGACAACAAUAAUAAAUAAUCCUCUUUCUUUGCCUUUUUUUUUCUAUCCACAAUGGGAGAGCGGUGGAAAUAUCUGGGGGGCGGGGAAGAGGGGAAAAAUAAAAAGUGUAGAAAGGCAUCACUUUGAGGGGUAAAACUGCUGGAGAAGGAAGUAACCUGAAGUUUCAGUUGGUGGCAACCCACCUCCCCAGCAGUCAAUUUAUUACCAUAUGAAGAUGUUGGGAACUUAAUCACAGGGCUGACAUGUGUACAAACUCCAGGCACUGGACUCAGCAUAAAAUUCACUCUCAGAAAAUGAUAAUAAUUGGGAGACCACACACUUGAAAUGUACCACUAAAAAGGGAGGGCAAUCAUUUGAGGGCCACAACCCAAC
rnacentral:lncRNA from 1 species